AUCAGGAACCAUGGCUCACUGGAGCACCAUCUUUGGAGUCUAGCUAACACAGCAUCUUGGAUGCACUCCUAAGAGAAGACUACCUGAAAGGCGUGUACACUGGUCUAGCAGUUGAGAUCAGCUAGUGUUCCAUCUAUCUUCUGUCAUGUAUCUCUUCUAAGAUGUCUUGAUCGACUGACCCCAAAGCCAGAGGGUACCAGGUCAAAAAGCAAGAAAACAAACAAUACUGACAUUAGAGAGAAGCAAAGUUUCUAUAGAAAACCUAUUACACUGUGGUAUAAAUCAAGAUGAACCUGCAGACAUCUAUUUUAGCUUUUCUAGGUCAUCAUUCUAGGCUUUGUUGAAGCAUGCAUUUUUGGCAUGAGGGUGGCAGCCUUUGCACUAUGUGCAUGGCUGAGGAGUUAGGAUCUGGAGGGUGAUGAAAGCAAAGGUGCUGCUGGUUACUCUUGGUUCAUCUAGCAAUAGAUGAUCUGAAUGUUAGAGUUCGCCAAAUAUUGUUCCUGGGCAGUCUUUGCUCUACCAAAUCAACUUUCUCCAUGGGGGAGCUAGAAGUCACCCCACAUUCUCCGCCAUGGCCAGCUCUACAUUCUAAGAGAACCAAUGGCUCUACCCAACAUAUUCUUCUCACCACAGAUGACAAAGACACAAGGAGCCAAGACAGAUCAUUCAAGCAUAUUCAUUGCCUCUAUCUUCAUCCCAUUAAAUAACAUCCCGCCAACCAAAGCAAGUUAUCUGCAUAAGAAUAAAUAUUCCACCUACUCUACUGCAAGGCCCUGCAAGAGUCAUGAGACAAAAGGAUCCUCUGUGGACAGCACCCAAGAUGGAAACAACUGACAGUCUAUGGCCAGGGCUAUACUCUGGUGAAACUGAAAGGUGUCUGCAUGGAAGUGUCUGACUACCACCAUCCACUCAGGCAAAUGCAUUUGUUUCCCUCUAUUCAUUAUUAGAAGAGAGGAGAUUACAUACCAGACAUAUACCAAUAGGUUUUCUCUUCAUAAUACCUACGUCAUCUAGUAGCAUAACAUAAGGCAGAAUCCUUCAAAGGUUGACUCCUAGAGAUGGAAGAGCUGUAAGCAGAGACAGAAAAGUAUGUUUUCACACAAACUCUUUGGCUCAUUAGCAGAUGGCAGCAAUGAGCCAAUAAAAUAUAUUUUUCUCCUUUGA
ensembl:lncRNA LINC02465 long intergenic non-protein coding RNA 2465